AACGGAGCUUAAAGAGCUUGCUUUUUAAGGCUUAGUGGCGAACGGGUGGAGUAACGCGUGAGUAACCUGCCCUGGAUGGGGGACAACAGUUGGAAACGACUGCUAAUACCGCAUAAGCCCACGGUGCUGCAUGGCACUGCGGGAAAAGGAUUUAUUCGCUCUAGGAUGGACUCGCGUCCAAUUAGCUAGUUGGUGAGGUAACGGCCCACCAAGGCGACGAUUGGUAGCCGGACUGAGAGGUUGACCGGCCACAUUGGGACUGAGGAUACGGCCCAGACUCC
rnacentral:rRNA from 1 species